CCUACGGGGAGCAGCAGUGGGGAAUAUUGGACAAUGGGCGAAAGCCUGAUCCAGCCAUGCCGCGUGUGUGAAGAAGGCCUUCGGGUUGUAAAGCACUUUCAGUGGGGAAGAAAGCCUUGGGGCUAAUACCCUCGAGGAAGGACAUCACCCACAGAAGAAGCACCGGCUAACUCCGUGCCAGCAGCCGCGGUAAUACGGAGGGUGCGAGCGUUAAUCGGAAUUACUGGGCGUAAAGCGCGCGUAGGCGGUCUGAUAAGCCGGUUGUGAAAGCCCCGGGCUCAACCUGGGAACGGCAUCCGGAACUGUCAGGCUAGAGUGCAGGAGAGGAAGGUAGAAUUCCCGGUGUAGCGGUGAAAUGCGUAGAGAGCGGGAGGAAUACCAGUGGCGAAGGCGGCCUUCUGGACUGACACUGACGCUGAGGUGCGAAAGCGUGGGUAGCAAACAGGAUUAGAUACCCUUGUAGUC
rnacentral:rRNA from 1 species